CAGCAGCCACGGGAAUACAGAGGGUGCGAGCGUUAAUCGGAUUUACUGGGCGUAAAGCGUGCGUAGGCGGCUUCUUAAGUCGGAUGUGAAAUCCCUGAGCUUAACUUAGGAAUUGCAUUCGAUACUGGGAAGCUAGAGUAUGGGAGAGGAUGGUAGAAUUCCAGGUGUAGCGGUGAAAUGCGUAGAGAUCUGGAGGAAUACCGAUGGCGAAGGCAGCCAUCUGGCCUAAUACUGACGCUGAGGUACGAAAGCAUGGGGAGCAAACAGGAUUAGAUACCCGUGUAGUCCCUGUCUCUUAUAC
rnacentral:rRNA from 1 species